rnacentral:misc_RNA from 1 species
GAUGAAGAACGCAGCGAAAUGCGAUAAGUAAUGUGAAUUGCAGAAUUCAGUGAAUCAUCGAAUCUUUGAACGCACAUUGCGCCCGCCAGUAUUCUGGCGGGCAUGCCUGUCCGAGCGUCAUUUCAACCCUCGAACCCCUCCGGGGGGUCGGCGUUGGGGAUCGGCCCUUUACGGGGCCGGCCCCGAAAUACAGUGGCGGUCUCGCCGCAGCCUCUCCUGCGCAGUAGUUUGCACACUCGCAUCGGGAGCGCGGCGCGUCCACAGCUGUUAAACACCCCAAACUUCUGAAAUGUUGACCUCGGAUCAGGUAGGAAUACCCGCUGAACUUAAGCAUAUCAAUAAGCGGAGGA